rnacentral:misc_RNA from 1 species
UAGCUCUUUCAUCAUUUCAACCUCUGCAACUCUCAAAAAUUCCGUUCAAUAGAACUAAAAAACAAAACAACUUUUGAUCUGCAGGAGGUAGUUUUCAAUUUAUGGUUCAUUCUGAUUGCUAGAACCUCUUGCAACCUUAAGCUUUUAGCUCUUUCGUUGCAACAAAAAUGCAGUGAUCAGGUGCGAAGCUUUAUACAUUUUAUAUGCCAUCCAGAGUCAAGUUUAGUUAUCCGCUUACUUAGGAACUAAAGCACAAGAAAACUUGAGGAUCCACACUUUGGAGCAAAUUUUCUCCUCAUAUUUCCAAACAACCAAACAGAACAAACAACAAGAAAAAAUUCGGGGCGCAAAUGUUGGAUGCUAAGCCUAAAAUUAGUGAAAUACGUACAAAAAUUCCAUCUACAUUUAUAAUCCUUUAACAAACCAAAAGGCUGUUACUCUGAUCGAAACAUAAUCUCAAUUUAGCCGAGAGAGAUAAUUUAAGGAAAAAAAAAAAAGAAAAAAACUAACCAGAUAAAUCAUUCUCCGGUUUCUCUGCCUUAUCCGUUGGGAACGUGACGUGCCUGCCACCAACUACCGGCGGCAGCAUUAUAGGAAGCGGAGGCAGAGAAAUGUAACCGUCACGGAAUUGAGGUCCUGCGAGAGGCGAAGAAGGGAAAGAAGUGGAGGUGCCUUGGUGAUCGUAACGCCUGCAAGAGAAGCUACUGGAACUCUCCGAUUCACUCACAUCCGCGCUCAAGCUGUAGCUGUCGAACUCGAACCGCUCGCUCAGUUGAUCUAACUCGUCCUCUGAAGAAACACUCCCCAUUGAUCAAAAAUCAAAGCACAGCAACAAUGAAUGUUAUGAAAACUAGGGAUCACGACCGAAAAAUCCUCUCUGUUGAGCAGAGAGAACAGGACAGAAAUUAGAGAAAAGAGUGACUGAGAGAGUGAAAAAGGGAAAGGCACCAUUAUAGCUUUUUGUGAAGUCUUCUCUUCUCAUUGAAGUGGGCGUUGGCUUUGUUGACAGCAGUCCCCACUUCCCACCAAAAGAACACAAGAUUGGUGCCUUUUAAAUUUCCGGAGGUCGAUGAGCUCAAGUGAAAUUGUGGCACGUGGGUAGCACGUCCAAUUAGGGUGAUGAAUUUCAUGCGGAGAUUUGGACACGCGCGCAGAAUCUAGUGCAGGUUCUUGCAUCGCAGGUGGGUUUUUUGUUGUUCUUAACAUGAAUUUGUACCAACCGAAAUGAUUAGUUUCGUCAAUCAGUCACGUGAGGAGAAGAAGCAAUUUCGUUUCUUCCGUGUGAUGAUUGCCUCGAUUGUCCUUCUUUAGGCUGGAUUCUCGAGCUCUCCUAUGCUACGGAUAAUAAAAUUCACCAUAUUUCAGGCCCAAGCUCUCUCUUUUUUUUUUUUAGAUGCAACUAACA